ACUCAAAGGAAUUGACGGGGGCCCGCACAAGCGGCGGAGCAUGUGGCUUAAUUCGACGCAACGCGAAGAACCUUACCAAGGCUUGACAUGCAUCGGAAACCUCUGGAGACAGGGGCCCUCUUUGAGUCGGUGUACAGGUGGUGCAUGGCUGUCGUCAGCUCGUGUCGUGAGAUGUUGGGUUAAGUCCCGCAACGAGCGCAACCCUUGUCCCGUGUUGCCAGCACGCUCUUUUGGGGUGGUGGGGACUCACGGGAGACCGCCGGGGUCAACUCGGAGGAAGGUGGGGACGACGUCAAGUCAUCAUGCCCCUUAUGUCUUGGGCUGCACACGUGCUACAAUGGCUGGUACAAUGAGUUGCGAUGCCGUGAGGUGGAGCGAAUCUCAAAAAGCCGGUCUCAGUUCGGAUUGGGGUCUGCAACUCGACCCCAUGAAGUCGGAGUCGCUAGUAAUCGCAGAUCAGCAGUGCUGCGGUGAAUACGUUCCCGGGCCUUGUACACACCGCCCGU
rnacentral:rRNA from 1 species